GACGUAGGGCGCGAGCGUUGUCCGGAUUUAUUGGGCGUAAAGAGCUCGUAGGCGGUGUGUCGCGUCGGCCGUGAAAACCUGGGGCUUAACUCUGGGCGUGCGGUCGAUACGGGCAUCACUAGAGUUCGGCAGGGGAGACUGGAAUUCCUGGUGUAGUCGGUGAAAUGCGCAGAUAUCAGGAGGAACACCGGUGGCGAAGGCGGGUCUCUGGGCCGAUACUGACGCUGGAGGAGCG
rnacentral:rRNA from 1 species